UACGAAGGGGGCUAGCGUUGCUCGGAAUCACUGGGCGUAAAGGGUGCGUAGGUGGGUCUUUAAGUCAGAGGUGAAAUCCUGGAGCUCAACUCCAGAACUGCCUUUGAUACUGAGGAUCUUGAGUUCGGGAGAGGUGAGUGGAACUGCGAGUGUAGAGGUGAAAUUCGUAGAUAUUCGCAAGAACACCAGUGGCGAAGGCGGCUCACUGGCCCGAUA
rnacentral:rRNA from 1 species